rnacentral:rRNA from 1 species
AAUCAACGCUGGCGGCGUGCCUAACACAUGCAAGUCGAACGCGAAAGGGGCUUCGGCCCUGAGUAGAGUGGCGAACGGGUGAGUAACACGUGGGUGACCUGCCUUCGAGUGGGGGAUAACAUUCCGAAAGGAGUGCUAAUACCGCAUGACAUCCUGCCUUUGAAGAGGCGGUGAUUAAAGCUGGGGAUCGCAAGACCUGGCGCUGGAAGAGGGGCCCGCGUCCGAUUAGCUAGUUGGUGGGGUAACGGCCUACCAAGGCGACGAUCGGUAGCCGGCCUGAGAGGGCGGACGGCCACACUGGGACUGAGACACGGCCCAGACUCCUACGGGAGGCAGCAGUGGGGAAUUGUUCGCAAUGGGCGCAAGCCUGACGACGCAACGCCGCGUGGAGGAUGAAGAUCUUCGGGUCGUAAACUCCUUUCGAUCGGGACGAACGGCUGGUGGUCUAACACACCACCGGAUUGACGGUACCGAGAGAAGAAGCCCCGGCUAACUCCGUGCCAGCAGCCGCGGUAAUAC